UACGUAGGCAGCAAGCGUUGUUCGGAGUUACUGGGCGUAAAGGGUGCGUAGGUGGCUCUAUAAGUAUGGUGUGAAAUCUCCCGCUUAACUGGGAGGGUGCGCCGUAGACUGUGGGGCUAGAGUGUGGGAGAGGAAAGUGGAAUUCCUGGUGUAGCGGUGAAAUGCGUAGAUAUCAGGAGGAACACCGGUGGUGUAAACGGCUUUCUGGACCAUAAACUGACAC
rnacentral:rRNA from 1 species